GGAUCGGUCUUAACGGUGCGUACGCUGCCUUACACAUGCAAGUCGAACGGUAACAGGUCUUCGGACGCUGACGAGUGGCGAACGGGUGAGUAAUACAUCGGAACGUGCCCAGUCGGGGGGGAUAACUACUCGAAAGAGUAGCUAAUACCGCAUACGAUCUGAGGAUGAAAGCGGGGGACCUUCGGGCCUCGCGCGAUUGGAGCGGCCGAUGGCAGAUUAGGUAGUUGGUGGGAUAAAAGCUUACCAAGCCGACGAUCUGUAGCUGGUCUGAGAGGACGACCAGCCACACUGGGACUGAGACACGGCCCAGACUCCUACGGGAGGCAGCAGUGGGGAAUUUUGGACAAUGGGCGAAAGCCUGAUCCAGCAAUGCCGCGUGCAGGAUGAAGGCCUUCGGGUUGUAAACUGCUUUUGUACGGAACGAAAAAGCUCCUUCUAAUACAGGGGGCCCAUGACGGUACCGUAAGAAUAAGCACCGGCUAACUACGUGCCAGCAGCCGCGGUAAUACGUAGGGUGCGAGCGUUAAUCGGAAUUACUGGGCGUAAAGCGUGCGCAGGCGGUUAUGUAAGACAGAUGUGAAAUCCCCGGGCUCAACCUGGGAACUGCAUUUGUGACUGCAUGGCUAGAGUACGGUAGAGGGGGAUGGAAUUCCGCGUGUAGCAGUGAAAUGCGUAGAUAUGCGGAGGAACACCGAUGGCGAAGGCAAUCCCCUGGACCUGUACUGACGCUCAUGCACGAAAGGCGUGGGGAGCAACAGGAUUAGAUACCUGGUAGUCCACGCCCUAACGAUGUCAACUGGUUGUUGGGAAUUAGUUUUCUCAGUAACGAAGCUAACGCGUGAAAGUUGACCGCCUGGGGAGUACGGCCCGCAGGGUUGAAACUCAAGGGAAUUGACGGGGACCCGCACAAGCGGGGGAUGAUGGUGGUUAAUUCAAUGCCAACGCGA
rnacentral:rRNA from 1 species